UACGUAGGGGGCUAGCGUUGUCCGGAUUUAUUGGGCGUAAAGAGCGUGUAGGCGGCCCGAUAAGUCCGCCGUGAAAGUCCAGGGCUCAACCCUGGAAUGCCGGUGGAAACUGUCGGGCUGGAGUCCGGAAGAGGCGAGUGGAAUUCCUGGUGUAGCGGUGAAAUGCGCAGAUAUCGUAAGGAAGACCAGUGGCGAAGGCGGGUCUCUGGACAGUUCCUGACGCUGAGGCACGAAGGUCAGGGGAGCAAACGGG
rnacentral:rRNA from 1 species